UGUUUAUAGUGCUGUGAAUUUAACACUUCAUGACUGAGAGCAGAACAGAACACAAUCUUCAUCAUCACACAAGACAAAAGAACAACAAUGAACAAAAUCACCUUCUUCAUCUGGACUCUCACACUGUUUGCUCAAGAGUGUAGAGGACAGAUCACUGUAACUCAGAGUCCAUCAAUAACAGCAGUUCAACCAGGACAAGAAGUCAGAAUAAACUGUAAAACCAGCAGUGCAGUGUAUAGUGGUAAUUACUUACACUGGUACUUACAGAAACCUGGAGAAGCUCCUAAACUCCUCAUAUAUUAUGCAACAAGCCGUUAUACUGGAACUCCAUCUAGAUUCAGUGGCAGUGGAUCUGGCAGUGAUUUCACUCUGACCAUCAGUGGAGUCCAGACUGAAGAUACAGGAGAUUAUUACUGUCUGAGUUUCCACUAUCCAAACAGUCAAUAUGUGUUCACACAGAGAGGACAGUACACUGUAACUCAGAGUCCAUCAAUAACAGCAGUUCAACCAGGACAAGAAGUCAGAAUAAACUGUAAAACCAGCAGUGCAGUGUAUAGUGGUAAUUAUUUAGCCUGGUACUUACAGAAACCUGGAGAAGCUCCUAAACUCCUCAUAUAUUAUGCAACAAGCCGUUAUACUGGAACUCCAUCUAGAUUCAGUGGCAGUGGAUCUGGCAGUGAUUUCACUCUGACCAUCAGUGGAGUCCAGACUGAAGAUACAGGAGAUUAUUACUGUCAGAGUUUCCACUAUCCGAACAGUAAACAUGUGUUCACACAGUGAUAAAGAGUGGUACAAAAACCUCGGUCAGUCAGACGUCACAGUGAUGCACUGAUACAGCUGAGAGAUACUGCAGCUGCUGAUGGAGGAUCACAAACAACACAAUGUUGUAUCAAACCUUUCAGAAACAUUAUUUAUUUAUUUGGAUGUACUAAGCAUGUAACAUAAUCUUUAUAUUAUAUAAAUGUUAGUGGUGCUUGGU